AUGCUCUGGAAUUUGAUAUAUAAGUAUUAUUCUUAUUUUUUUCAUUUUUCUUUUAAACUUUCGCGGGUUUUUGGGGGCCUUAACAUACUCAAAAACUCACAUUGGAACCUGCAGCCAUCAGGACGCCGCAGAGGAUGGGACCUGGGUGUGGCACAGGGGCUCUACAGCACCCCCUGGAACACAGUCAGAAAUCUUGAACCAUAGCUCACACAUACUUACACAUAUCCAUAUGAAACUCAGUACACUUAUAGAUCUCACUGAGCCGAACAACUUUCACGCUCUAUGUCAUAGGCUCCGCCCAACAGGAAGUCAGCUAUUCAGGGCUGUUUAAAAAAAGCAUGCUCUGGAAUUUGAAAUACUCCUCUGAGGAAUUUCAAUUGUUUGCCUCAAAACUCGGUGAACAUGAUCUCAAGACAUUGGGGAUGCAAAUUUGCCAGGGGAUUUUUGAUAUCUCGAACGGUUUGUCCAUGGCAAGACGACAAAUUUAUGACAAAAAAUGAGAAACAGGAAGUGUCUAAUAACAUCAACAUACAUUUUCUGAUCUUGAUCAAACUUCAGGAGUUUGUUAGUUUUAUGAUGCCGAUCACAUAGAUGUGACUAUUAGGAUCCAAAGUUAUAGCCCCACCAACUGGCAGCAGGAAGUGUGUCAUUUUCAAAAUGCUUUGAAUUCAGCAUCUUAUUUUUACUCAAUUUGCUUCAAACUUCAUCAGGAUAAUGACGAAACACGGCCGAUAUAAAACUAUUGAGGGGAUAUUAAUAACUAUAAUAUUGUUGCCAUGGCAACGUGUCAAACCUGAAAAUUCUUCUCUGGUGAUUUUGAGGCAGAUAACAUACAUAGAAUUUCAUGAAACUCAAAACACAUAUAAGUAUUAAUGUUAGUUAGGACGCCGCAGAGGCUGGGAUCUGGGCGUGGCACAGUGGCUCUACAGCACCCCCUGGAACACAGUCCGAAAUCUUGAAGUAUAACACACACAUACUUGCAUGUAUUUAUAUGAAACUCUGUACACUUAUAGAUCUCAUUGAGCCGAACAACUUUCGCUUUUCAUGCAAUAGGCUCCACCCA
ensembl:lncRNA